UCCCCCAGUAAGGGCGACUGAAGCGGGAAGUGCUCACCAUGUGAAUCUAUACAGGCCUUGUCCUGUGUCGAAUUGUGGUCUAAAGAAGCAAUGUAUGUCAGCAGCUCGGGCUAAGUCCUUUGGAAAAAGGCAGCAGAGAGGGUGAGACUCCCGUUCUUGCCUGAGAUGCUUGACUUGAAUCAUGUCUUCAACGAGUCGAGUUGUUUGGGAUUGCAGCUCAAAGCGGGUGGUAAAUUCCAUCUAAAGCUAAAUAUUGGUGGGAGACCGAUAGCGAACAAGUACCGUGAGGGAAAGAUGAAAAGAACUUUGAAAAGAGAGUUAAAGAGUACCUGAAAUUGCUGAAAAGGAAGCGAAGGAAACCAGUGUUAUCUCCAACCAUUUUUCUCGUGCUGCUUGCAGUGUGAGCGCUGUGGUUGGGGGUAGGCCAGCAUUGGCUUGGACCGGGGCAAAAGGAUGCUGCCCUGGACCAGGCUGAGGCUAGCUCGUGUGAUGCUGGCAAAAUGGUUUUCUUUACCCCGUCUUGAAC
rnacentral:rRNA from 1 species